AAGUCGUAACAAGGUAUCUGUAGGUGAACCUGCAGAUGGAUCAUUUCGAUGAAAACCUUUUUUUCUUGAGGUGUGGCUCGCACCUGUCUAACUAAACUUGAGCUACCUUUUUUUAACACGGUUGCAUCGGUUGGCCUGUCAAACAGUGCGGCGGGCAAGAAUUCAUUUUCGUGCCUGCCAAGCUAGGCGACGGACCGACACUUAAUCAACACUUUUGAUGAUCUAGGAUUUGAACGUAUAAAAGUUACUUUUUUAAUAACUAAAAAACAACUUUUGGCAACGGAUCUCUUGGUUCUCC
rnacentral:misc_RNA from 1 species